rnacentral:rRNA from 1 species
UACCGAUGGCGAAGNCAGCCCCCUGGGAUAAUACUGACGUUCAUGCUCGAAAGCGUGGGUAGCAAACAGGAUUAGAUACCCUGGUAGUCCACGCCCUAAACGAUGUCGAUUAGCUGUUGGGCAGCUUGACUGCUUAGUAGCGUAGCUAACGCGUGAAAUCGACCGCCUGGGGAGUACGGUCGCAAGAUUAAAACUCAAAGGAAUUGACGGGGACCCGCACAAGCGGUGGAUGAUGUGGAUUAAUUCGAUGCAACGCGAAGAACCUUACCUGGUCUUGACAUGUACGGAACCUUCCAGAGACGGAAGGGUGCCUUCGGGAGCCGUAGCACAGGUGCUGCAUGGCUGUCGUCAGCUCGUGUCGUGAGAUGUUGGGUUAAGUCCCGCAACGAGCGCAACCCUUGUCAUUAGUUGCCAUCAUUCAGUUGGGCACUCUAAUGAGACUGCCGGUGACAAACCGGAGGAAGGUGGGGAUGACGUCAAGUCCUCAUGGCCCUUAUGACCAGGGCUUCACACGUCAUACAAUGGUCGGUACAAAGGGUAGCCAAGCCGCGAGGCGGAGCCAAUCUCAUAAAACCGAUCGUAGUCCGGAUUGCACUCUGCAACUCGAGAGCAUGAAGUCGGAAUCGCUAGUAAUCGCAGGUCAGCAUACUGCGGUGAAUACGUUCCCGGGUCUUGUACACA